AUUCUUUACACCAUUCAUUGAUAAUGGUCGUUUCUUGCGAAGGAAUGGUCAUGAGAAAGUUCAGAAUUUCACAAUAUACAGUGUUUGAUUAGUCCGGAAUAGUAGGAAAGUAGAUCGCGCGUGCUCAUUUUGACUGACCUCUGACCGUUUGACAGCUUGACCAUUACUUAUAGGACCAGUUGUUUCACACACGUCAGGAAGAUAGGUAGACGAGAAAUUUGAAGCCAUAUUCGCCAUCAUGAGAAUCAUCUUUGUUUUCGCUCUCCUGAUUGUAGCAGUAUAUUCCGAGACAUGCCGACGUCACGAGGAAUGUAAGAACACAAUUUGCAGCACGGGGGCUGAAAUGCAUUGUAUCUUCCACACGUGCACGUGUACAAUAGCUGCCAGUAGUGGUUCAACAUGCACCUCAGUGUCAGAGUGCCAUGACAGGUGCAGCUUUGGACGCCAGCAUCACUGCAUUGACGGACAUUGCCGAUGUACCCACUUUUAAAACUGAACAUCUUAUUUAUAAUUAAAUGAUAUGUAGAUAG